rnacentral:rRNA from 1 species
GACGAACGCUGGCGGCGUGCUUAACACAUGCAAGUCGAACGGUGAAGGGGUCUGCUUUUGUGGGCCCUGGAUGAGUGGCGAACGGGUGAGUAACACGUGAGUAACCUGCCCCCUUCUUCUGGAUAACCGCAUGAAAGUGUGGCUAAUACGGGAUAUUCUGGGUCUGUCGCAUGAUGGGUCUGGGAAAGAUUGCGCCUUUGGGUGUUUUUGGUGGGGGAUGGGCUCGCGGCCUAUCAGCUUGUUGGUGGGGUGAUGGCCUACCAAGGCGGUGACGGGUAGCCGGCCUGAGAGGGUGGACGGUCACACUGGGACUGAGACACGGCUCAGACUCCUACGGGAGGCAGCAGUGGGGAAUAUUGCACAAUGGGCGCAAGCCUGAUGCAGCGACGCCGCGUGAGGGAUGGAGGCCUUCGGGUUGUAAACCUCUUUCGCCAGUGAAGCAGGCCUGCUCCUUGUGGGUGGGUUGACGGUAGCUGGAUAAGAAGCGCCGGCUAACUACGUG